rnacentral:rRNA from 1 species
UACAGAGGUCCCAAGCGUUGUUCGGAUUCACUGGGCGUAAAGGGUGCGUAGGCGGUUUGAUAAGUCUGAUGUGAAAUCCCGCAGCUUAACUGCGGAACUGCAUUGGAAACUAUUUGACUAGAGGAAUGGAGGGGAGACUGGAAUACUUGGUGUAGCAGUGAAAUGCGUAGAUAUCAAGUGGAACACCAGUGGCGAAGGCGAGUCUCUGGACAUUUCCUGACGCUGAGGCACGAAAGCCAGGGAGCAAACGGG